rnacentral:rRNA from 1 species
GCCCUUGCGGAUCCGCGGCCGCUGCAGAGUUUGAUCCUGGCUCAGAACGAACGCUGGCGGCGCGUUUUAAGCAUGCAAGUCAAAGGGGCUAUUUAUAGCGAUAUAGAUAGCAACUGGCGCACGGGUGAGUAAUAUGUGAGAAUCUACCCUAAGGACUGGGAUAGUAUGCAGAAAUGCAUAGUAAUACCGGAUAUGCCGAGAGGUGAAAAGGUCAACUGAUCUGCCUUAGGAUGAGCUUGCAUCCCAUUAGCUAGUUGGUAGGGUAAGAGCCUACCAAGGCGACGAUGGGUAGCCGGCCUGAGAGGGUGAACGGCCACAUUGGAACUGAGACACGGUCCAGACUCCUACGGGAGGCAGCAGCUAAGAAUCUUCCGCAAUGGGAGGAAUCCUGACGGAGCGACGCCGCGUGAACGAUGAAGGCAGAAAUGUUGUAAAGUUCUUUUGUAUGGGAAGAAUAAGGGGAGGAGUGGAAAGCCUCUCUGAUGACGGUACAUACGCAUAAGCCACGGCUAACUACGCGCCCGCAGCCGCGGUAAUACGUAGGUGGCAAGCGUUGUUCGGACUCAUUGGCCGUAAAGCCCAUGUAGGUGC